GAUGAACGCUGGCGGCGUGCUUAACACAUGCAAGUCGAACGAAGCAUUUAGGACAGAUUACUUCGGUUUGAAGUUCUUUAUGACUGAGUGGCGGACGGGUGAGUAACGCGUGGGUAACCUGCCUUGUACUGGGUGAUAGCAGCUGGAAACGGCUGGUAAUACCGCAUAAGCGCACAAUGUUGCAUGACAUGGUGGGAAAAACUCCGGUGGUAUAAGAUGGACUCGCGUCUGAUCAGCUUGUUGGUGGGGUAGUGGCGCACCAAGGCGAUGAUGGGUAGCCGGCCUGAGAGGGUGACCGGCCACAUUGGGACUGAGAUGCGGCCCAGACUCCUACGGGAGGCAGCAGUGGGGAAUAUUGAACAAUGGGCGGAAGCCUGAUGCAGCAACGCCGCGUGCGGGAUGACGGCCGUCGGGUUGUAAACCGCUUGCGCCUGUGACGAAGCGUGAGUGACGGUAAUGGGUAAAGAAGCACCGGCUAACUACGUG
rnacentral:rRNA from 1 species